UUUAGACUAGAAGUUCAAAGGAGAAGAUUUUUGUAAAAGUUGGUGAACGACGACGACAACGAACGCCAAUUGAUAAGAACAGCUCACUUGGCCCAUCGUAGCAGGGAUCAAUAGGCUGUUACCGAGUGGUUGCUUCAGAAGCGGUUGUCAUACUGCCAAGGGCCAGAACUUGAUGUUGGAGUGCACUGAAGUUGAUGUUGAAGAUGUGUUCAUUGUUGAUGUCUAAAAGAUCAAUUAAAUUAUAAAAAAAGAUGACUUACGAACUUCCAUCAACACA